rnacentral:rRNA from 1 species
GCACUAAGUCACUUUGUCUUUAUGGCAAAUGUGAGAUGCAGUGUAUGGAAUGUCAAAUUUCUAGUAUGAGAAAUUAACGAUUUAAGUCCUUCUUAAAUGAGGCCAUUUACCCAUAGAGGGUGCCAGGCCCGUAUAACGUUAAUGAUUACUAGAUGGCAUUUCCAAAGAGUCGUGUUGCUUGAUAGUGCAGCACUAAGUGGGUGGUAAACUCCAUCUAAAACUAAAUAUAACCAUGAGACCGAUAGUAAACAAGUACCGUGAGGGAAAGUUGAAAAGAACUCUGAAUAGAGAGUUAAAUAGUACGUGAAACUGCUUAGAGGUUAAGCCCGAUGAACCUGAAUAUCCAUUAUAGAAAAUUCAUCAUUAUGAUUUUAAUAUUAAUAAUAUUAUAAUAAUGGUGUGCAUUUUUUCUAUAACGGACAUUGUAAUCUAUUAACAUAAAUAUAUUUAUCAUAAGAUCAAUGAUGCGUAAGUUUAUUCAAAUUAUUUUGCUUGCAAUUUAACAUAGAAUAAAUGCUCUUGAUUUGAUAAAGUGUUGAUAGAUUUAUUGUAUAUAGUGCUUAAAUAUUUAUAUUUUAUAAUAGCAUAUUAAUCAUUGAUUUUUAUGUUUAUUAUAUGCACUUAUAUGAUUAACAAUGCGAAAGAUUCAGGAUACCUUCGGGACCCGUCUUGAAACACGGACCAAGGAGUCUAACAUAUUUGCAAGUUAUUGGGUAUCAAAACCUAAUAGCGAAAUUAACAUAACUUUAAUGGGAUUAGUUUUUAGAUUAUUUAUAGUCUAUUAAUUCAAUCCCGGGGCGUUCUAUACAGUUAUGUAUAAUAAUAUUUAUAUUAUUUAUACCUCUAACUAGAGCGUACCUUGAGCAUAUAUGCUGUGACCCGAAAGAUGGUGAACUAUACUUGAUCAGGUUGAAGUCAGGGGAAACCCUGAUGGAAGACCGAAACAGUUCUGACGUGCAAAUCGAUUGUCAGAAUUGAGUAUAGGGGCG